GGCGGGACGGCAGGUGAGGCGGCGCGCGGGUCCUGGGAACCCCCGCGCCGCCCGGCUGCCUUUAAAAGCCCACCGCGGAGGGGGCGCGCGCGGUGGGCGUGGCCAGACGCCGCCUUCCCAUUGGACGCUCCGGCCGGACGUGCGUGAUUCGAGAGGCGCGCGGGAGCGCCGACCGCCCGCCGCCCGGGACCCCCCGGGACCCCUCUCUGGGCCAGCUAACCCCGCCAGGGGCGCCACCGCCCCGGCCACCGCGGGCCGCCCCCCGCCCCGGCAAGGGCUGCACCCCCCAGAGUGACUCGGGGGCCGCGGCGCGCGCGGGACUCGCUUCUCCGGGAACUGCCGGGGAUUGAAUGCAGCAACGCGAUUGGAGGCCGCCCGGGAGCGGGAGAGGAUUCCCCCACCCCUCAACCGUUGUCGCGGGUCGGGGCAAGUGGUUUUGCAAAUGAGAUUUGCCACAGACAUUUGCCCUGCAAGUGGCAAAAUGCCAGGAAUGAAGAAUAAGAAGUGUUAGGAUCCGAAAAAUACAUGAUUCACUUGGGAAAGUUCCAACAUCUGCAAAUACUCUUAGGGCGGCCGCUAAAAGAAACACUGGACUUUUUACAGUUUUCUCUAGAUAUAAUAAAGAUGUCAGAGAUAGGGA